rnacentral:pre_miRNA from 1 species
CAAAUACUCCCUCCGUCCGAAAAUACCUGUCAUCAAAAUGGAUAAAGAGGGAUGUAUCUAGAACUAAAAUACAUCUAGAUACAUCCCCUUUUAUUCAUUUUGAUGACAAGUAUUUCUGGAUGGAGGGAGUAUGUC